rnacentral:lncRNA from 1 species
UUUAUUCAGGUUUACAUUUGGUGUGACAUUUUCAGAAUUUAAUUCAUCUUCUUUGAAACUUAAAAUUUUUGUGUUCUGGUUAGUUGUUUUUUCAUAGCCUUGUUUCUUCAUCACAUUAACCAGACUCGUUAUUUGCUCUUGAAGCGAGCCCACGAUUCCGUAUAGUUCUUCUAACUUAGUCCUCUUAAAUGCGUCGCUAACCGAUUUGCUUAAACUCGAAUCUGAUCUACAUCUUUUUAUUGCAGGUUGUUCAUUUUGAUUUUCGGCUCUCUUUUCUGAAUCGUUAUUGCUCGCGCGUGUCAUUCGAGAAGAUUAGAUUAAAAGUACGGAGUGAAAUCGAGACAGAUGAGAAGGGAUAGAGCAGGAUUGUUCGUGAGUUGGAGUGCGUGUUAACGGAUAUUACUGUGAAUCGUGAUUUCAGAAGAGAAAGAAACGCGAAAUCGGAGGUGUCGUGCGAUUUGGAUUCGAGAAGAAACGAGAUGGGGGUUGGAGAGAUGUCGCCGAGGGAAGUUGGGUUUGUCCCCGGAGUCGCCAAUUGUCGAUGUAGAAAUCCCGCUCCGCUCCGUCGAUGUCUUCUCUUUAUAUAGCCGGACGGAUGUACUAGCACUUUGACACGUCGUGACCUAAGUGUCAAACUCUUCGCUGAGCCGGGCAUGCAGUUCCGGUUUUAUUCGUAAUUCCUGUCGAGAUGUAACUGGUCAACGUGAGUACGUAACGCGAGCAAGUAUCAACAAACAUAAAAGUAGAUCGGAGGAUGUAAUAGAACUCAUUAGGCAGGCCAAAUGCUUGUGAAUCACCAAGUCUGCUAGAAGAUCCUCUGGAAUUCACUAUUCUCGCCGGAAGAUGAAGCCGUCGGAAAUCGACGAGAUAAUGAAGAAGUCGCGGUCGCCGCUGCCGGAAGGGAAUGGUCGGAGAAAUCGGAACGAUUGGGUUUGGGUUUGGG